GAGGGUGCAGCUCAGUGGUAGAGCACAUGCUUAGCAUGCACAAGGUCCUGGGUUCAGUUCCUAGUACCUCCA
rnacentral:tRNA from 1 species